GGAAGGAAAUUAAGUACGGAAGUUCCUGAUUUCACGCUGUCAAGAAAAGCCUCUAGGAAGAGUAGUACUGCCCGUACCGCAAACCGACACAGGUAGAUGAGGAGAGAAUCCUAAGGUGAGCGAGAGAACUCUCGUUAAGGAACUCGGCAAAAUGACCCCGUAACUUCGGGAGAAGGGGUGCUCUAUUAGGGUGCAAGCCCGAGAGAGCCGCAGUGAAUAGGCCCAGGCGACUGUUUAGCAAAAACACAGGUCUCUGCAAAACCGUAAGGUGACGUAUAGGGGCUGACGCCUGCCCGGUGCUGGAAGGUUAAGAGGAGUGCUUAGCUUCGGCGAAGGUACGAAUUGAAGCCCCAGUAAACGGCGGCCGUAACUAUAACGGUCCUAAGGUAGCGAAAUUCCUUGUCGGGUAAGUUCCGACCCGCACGAAAGGCGCAACGAUCUGGGCACUGUCUCAACGAGAGACUCGGUGAAAUUAUAGUACCUGUGAAGAUGCAGGUUACCCGCGACAGGACGGAAAGACCCCGUGGAGCUUUACUGCAACCUGAUAUGGAAUGUUUGUACCGCUUGUACAGGAUAGGUAGGAGCCGAAGAGACGUGUGCGCUAGCAUACGAGGAGGCAAUGGUGGGAUACUACCCUGGCUGUAUG
rnacentral:rRNA from 2 species